UCGGUUGAUCCUGCCGGAGGCUACUGCUAUCGGGGUUCGAUUAAGCCAUGCGAGUUAAAUGUUCUUCGUGAACAUAGCGAACUGCUCAGUAACACGUGGAUAACCUACCCUUAGGACCGGAAUAACCCCGGGAAACUGGGGAUAAUACCGGAUAAGCCAUAGACGCUGGAAUGCCCUAUGGUUCAAAGCUCCGGCGCCUAAGGAUGGAUCUGCGGUCUAUCAGGUUGUAGUGGGUGUAACGUACCUACUAGCCGACGGCGGAUACGGGUUGUGAGAGCAAGAGCCCGGAGAUGGAUUCUGAGACACGAAUCCAGGCCCUACGGGGUGCAGCAGGCGCGAACACUUUACAAUGCGGGAAACCGCGAUAAGGGAACCCCGAGUGCCAGCAUCAAAUGUUGGCUGUCCAGAUGGUUAAAAAUCAUUUGUUAGCAAGGGCCGGGCAAGACCGGUGCCAGCCGCCGCGGUAACACCGGCGGCCCGAGUGGUAGCCGUUUUUAUUGGGUCUAAAGGGUCCGUAGCCGGCCUGAUAAGUCCUUUGGGAAAUCUGACAGCUUAACUGUCAGGCUUCUAAGGGAUACUGUCAGGCUUGGGACCGGAAGAGGUAAGGGGUACUCCAGGGGUAGGAGUGAAAUCUUGUAAUCCCUGGGGGANCAUCUGUGGUGAAGGCGUCUGACUGGAAUGGAUCCGACGGUGAGGGAUGAAAGCUAGGGGAGCGACCCGGAUUAGAUACCCGGUUAGUCCUAGCUGUAAACGAUGCUCACUUGGUAUUGGAGAUCUUUCGCGGAUUUCCAGUGNCGAAGGGAAACCGUUAAGUGAGCCACCUGGGGAGUA
rnacentral:rRNA from 1 species